UACGGAGGGGGCGAGCGUUAUUCGGAAUUAUUGGGCGUAAAGGGCGCGUAGGCGGCUGUACAAGUCAAAGGUGAAAUCCCUCGGCUCAACUGAGGAACUGCCUUUGAAACUGUACGGCUUGAGGCCGGGAGGGGGUAGCGGAAUUCCCAGUGUAGCGGUGAAAUGCGUAGAUAUUGGGAGGAACACCAGUGGCGAAGGCGGCUACCUGGCUCAUUUCUGACGCUCAGGCGCGACAGCGUGGGGAUCAAACAGG
rnacentral:rRNA from 1 species